ensembl:lncRNA
UUCAGGGUUGGCAGUGGAGGUGAGGGCAUCUUUUGCUGGAGAUCCCUAACUACCUGAGGCCUUCUAAAGUUCUGAGAAGGGAGCCUUGAGGAAUUUAAUGGCUACUGUUGGAAGAAAGUGAAGAGAAUUUCUGUCUAUGGACUCAGAAAUUUUGAACUACCAUGGAGCAGUGGCCCCUUAACCACAUUCAGACAGAAGCAAGGACUGUCUAUGCUGAUGCCCUAUAUGUCUGACUGUACCACAGACACAGUAAUGAUGACAUUUUUGUAACAGCCAUUCAUUCAGUGUCAGCCUAAAUCAUACUGAUUUGUGAAUCAGAACUUUCUGCUGCAUCUACAGACGGGUGUUUCACCAACAUGAAGAAAAAGCAUCUCUCAAAACCCAAGACAAGUGAAUCUUCAAGUCAUACAAAAGUCUUACUGAAGGCAUUAAUGUCAUGUGUGAAGACCUUAUGUUUUGCAGACACAGUAAAUUUGCAUCUAUGGAAGUAAAAAGCAGUUACUUAUUAUAUUUAAAGUGUACAAAGGCUGAGUAGUCAUUGAUGAAAGAAGGAUAUUGUUUCAAACUGAAGAAUAAAUAACAUUUCUAAGGAAGCAGCCAAGAAAAAAGAAAACAAGAGGACAAGAGAACAAGAAAGCAGAACAAGAAAUACAGAAACAAAAUAUGGAUGAAAGAAAUAGCUGAAGAUGUGGGUAAUGGCAAUACAGGAAAAAAAAAGAUUAAAAAUCCACUUACCAUAUUGACACAUGUUUUUACUCAAUAUGAAUGGAUAAAAUAUCAUCUAUUAGUCUCUGU